GUAAGUCCCUCCUUUCACUGUAGGAUCAUUGGCCACAAACAUACAUAGUCGUCCAUGAACAGGGCCUAUCCCAGUGAUUAUCCCAGCAGACGGCAAGGGUUCAUCAUACAGUUCAUGGCCUGCGAGCUGAGAAAGCUCGAGGAAGGAAGAGCCAGGAUCAAGAAGGCGAUCGAUCCGUUCUCUCGGAAGUAAUUUAUUCCGACUUUUAUUUCUCUUCACGGCUUCAGGCCCGCCCCCAGCUAGAACCUUGCUAAUGUGGGAACGAAG
rnacentral:misc_RNA from 1 species